rnacentral:rRNA from 1 species
UACAGAGGGUGCAAGCGUUGUUCGGAAUCAUUGGGCGUAAAGGGCGCGUAGGCGGUUCCGCAAGUCGAAUGUGAAAGCCCAGGGCUCAACCUUGGAAGUGCAUCCGAAACUGCGGAACUCGAAUCUCGGAGAGGGUGGUGGAAUUCCCAGUGUAGAGGUGAAAUUCGUAGAUAUUGGGAGGAACACCGGUGGCGAAGGCGACCACCUGGACGAAGAUUGACGCUGAGGCGCGAAAGCGUGGGGAGCAAACAGG